rnacentral:rRNA from 1 species
GUAAUACGUAGGUGGCAAGCGUUGUCCGGAUUUACUGGGCGUAAAGAGUAUGUAGGCGGACAUUUAAGUAGAAAGUGAAAGGUUGGAGCUCAACUCCAACACUGCUUCCUAUACUGGAUGUCUUGAGUGCUGGAGAGGAAAGCGGAACGACACGUGUAGCGGUGAAAUGCGUUGAUAUGUGUCGGAACACCAAUGGCGAAGGCAGCUUUCUGGACAGAAACUGACGCUGAGAUACGAAAGCGUGGGUAGCGAACAGGAUUAGAUACCCUGGUAGUCCACGCCCUAAACGAUGUUCACUAGGUGUCGGGGGGUAACCUCCGGUGCCGCAGCUAACGCAUUAAGUGAACCGCCUGGGGACUACGGCCGCAAGGUUGAAACUCAAAGGAAUUGGCGGGGGACCGCACAAGCGGUGGAGCAUGUGGCUUAAUUCGAUGCAACGCGAAGAACCUUACCAGGGCUUGACAUGUAACUGCAAGCCGCCGAAAAGCGGUCGCCUUCGAGGGUGUUACACAGGUGGUGCAUGGCUGUCGUUAGCUCGUGUUGUGAAAUGUUGGGUUAAGUCCCGCAACGAGCGCAACCCUCAUUGUCUGUUGCCAGCGAGUAAUGUCGGGAACUCGGACAAAACUGCCUCUGUAAGGAGGAGGAAGGUGGGGAUGACGUCAAGUCAUCAUGCCCCUUACGCCCUGGGCUGCACACAUGCUACAAUGGCCGGUACAAAGGGUUGCUAACCCGCGAGGGCAUGCUAAUCUCAAAAAACCGGUCUCAGUUCGGAUUGGGGUCUGCAACUCGACCCCAUGAAGUCGGAAUCGCUGGUAAACGCCGGUCAGCAAUACGGCGUUGAAUACGUUUCCCGGUCCUUGCACACACCGCCCGUCACGCCACGAAAGUUGGUCUGCUCGAAAC